rnacentral:rRNA from 1 species
UACGAAGGGGGCUAGCGUUGCUCGGAAUCACUGGGCGUAAAGCGCACGUAGGCGGGUUCUUAAGUCAGGGGUGAAAUCCUGGAGCUCAACUCCAGAACUGCCUUUGAUACUGGGAAUCUCGAGUCCGGGAGAGGUGAGUGGAACUGCGAGUGUAGAGGUGAAAUUCGUAGAUAUUCGCAAGAACACCAGUGGCGAAGGCGGCUCACUGGCCCGAUACUGACGCUGAGGCACGAAAGCGUGGGGAGCAAACAGGG